CGACCCCAGGUCAGGCGGGGCUACCUACUGAGUUUAAGCAUAUCAAUAAGCGGAGGACAAGAAACUUACAAGGAUUCCCUUAGUAACGGCUAGCGAACCGGGAAGAGCCCAGCUUGAGAACCAGGCGGAUUUGUCGUUCGAAUUGUAGUCUGUAGAAGCGUCCUCAGCGGCGAACCAAGCCCAAGUCCCCUGGAAGGGGGUGCCGGAGAGGGUGAGAGCUCCAUCGUGUCUGAACCCUAUCGCACCAUGAGGCACUGUCGGAGAGUCGGGUUGUUUGGGAAUGCAGCCCCAAUUGGGCGGUAAAUUUCAUCCAAGGCUAAAUAUGGGCGAGAGACCGAUUGAGAACAAGUACCGCCAGGGAAAGAUGAAAAGGAAUUUGAAAAGAGAGUCAAAGAGUGCUAGAAAUUGUUAAGAGGGAAGCAGAUGGGGGCUGACGGUGCGUCUCGGUCAGAUGUGGAACGGUUAAUAGCCGGUCCACCGCUCGACUCGAGCCGUGGACCGAUGUGGAUUACGGUGGCAUCCCAAGCCUGGGUUAUCGUGUUAUUCCUGAGGAGAUGUUGUUGCCAUGAUCAUGGUAGGUAGCAUGCACCUCGAUGGCAUGCCUAUUGGAAACUGCAUGCUCCAGGCAUCGGCCUAAUGGGCACCCCAUUCAACCCAUCUUGAAACACAGACCAAGGAGUCUAAUAUGUGUGCGAGUCAGCGGGCAAGUAAAACCUGUAAGGCAUAAGGAAGCUGACUAAUGGGAUCCCCUUGUGGGUUGCACCGGUGACCGACCUUGAUCUUCUGUGAAGGGUUCGAGUGAGAGCAUACCUAUCGGGACCCGAAAGAUGGUGAACUAUGCCUGAGUAGGGUGAAGCCAGAGGAAACUUUGGUGGAGGCCCGCAGCAAUACUGACGUGCAAAUUUUUCAUCUGACUUGGGUAUAGGGGUGAAAGACUAAUCAAACCGUCUAGUAGUUGGUUCCCUCUGAAGUUUUCCUCAAGAUAGCUGGAGCCCGCGGGCGAGUUCUAUCGGGUAAAGCCAAUGAUUAGAGGCAUCGGGGGUGCAAUGCCCUCGACCUAUUCUCAAACUUUAAAUAGUAGGACGGCAUGGUUGCAUCGUUGAGCCAUGCCAUGGAAUCGAAAGCGCUAAGUGGGCUAUUUUUUGUAAGCAGAACUAGCGAUGUGGGAUGAACCAGAAGCCGGGUUACGGUGUUGGAUUGCACGCUAACCUAGAACCCACAAAGGGUGUUGGUCGAUUAAGACAGCAGGACGGUGGUCAUAGAAGUCGAAAUCCGCUAAGGAGUGUGUAACAACUCACCUACCAAAUCAACUAGCCCCGAAAAUGGAUGGCGCUGAAGCACGCAACAUAUACCCAGCCGUCGGGGUAACUGCCAGGCCCUGAUGAGUAGGAGGGAAUGGCGAUCACCAUAAAACCUGGGGCAUGAGCCCAGGCAGAGCGACUGUCGGUACAGAUCUUGGUGGUAGUAGCAAAUAUUCAAAUGAGAAAUUUGAAGGCUGAAGAGGGGAAAGUUUCCAUGUGAACGGCACUUACACAUGGGUUAGUUGAUCCUAAGGGAUGGCGGAAGCCCAUCAGAGAGCGUGUACACGUGCGUGCUCUGAAAGGGAAUCGGGUUAAAAUUCUUGAGCCGGGAUGUGGCGGUUGACAGCAACGUUAGGAAGUCCGGAGACAUCGACGGGGGCCAUGGGAAGAGUUAUCUUUUCUGUUUAACAGUCUGCCCACCCUGGAAAUGGCUCAAUCGGAGGUAGGGUCCAACGGCUGGAAGAGCACUGCAUGUCACAUGGUGUCCGGUGUGCCCCCGAUGGCCCUUGAAAAUCCGAAGGACCGAGUGUCAACCAUACGCAGUCGUUCUCAUAACCGCAUUAGGUCUCUAAGGUGAACAGCCUCUGGUUGAUGGAACAAUGUAGGCAGGGGAAGUCGAGCUACUUUCCUGGUGAGAGCGGGUUACCGCAUGCCGGUCAGGGGACAGAUUGGGAACGGCCCCAUUGAGGGCCUUUCCCGAGUGUCAAAUAGUUAACUCAAAACUGGUAUGGACAAGGGGAAUCCAACUGUUUAAUUAAAACAAACCAUUGCGAUGGUCCCUGCGGAUGCUCACGUAAUGUGAUUUCUGCCCAGUGCUCUGAAUGUCAAAGUGAAGAAAUUCAACCAAGCGCGGGUAAAUGGCGGGAGUAACUAUGACACUCUUAUGGUAGCUAAAUGCCUCGUCAUCUAAUUAGUGACGCGCAUAAAUGGAUUAAUGAGAUUCCCACUGUCCCUAUCUACUAUCCAACGAAACCAUAGCCAAGGGAAUGGGCUUAGCAGAAUCAGCGGGGAAAGAAGACCCUGUUGAGCUUGACUCUAGUUCGACUUUGUGAAAUGACUUGAUAGGUGUAGGAUAAGUGGGAGCUGGAAACAGCGCAAGUGAAAUACCACUACUUUUAAUGUUAUUUUUCUUACUCCGUGAGUCAGAGGCGGGGCCCUACCCCUCCUUUUGGACCCAAGGCUUACCUCGACAGGGCUAUCCGGGCGGAGGACACUAUCAGGUGGGGAGUUUGGCUGGGGUGGCACAUUUGUUAAAAGAUAACACAGGUGUCCUAAGAUGAGCUCAACGAGAACAGAAAUCUUGUGUGGAACAUAAGGGUAAAAGCUCGUUUGAUUCUGAUUUCCAUUACGAAUACAAACCGUGAAAGCGUGGCCUAUUAAUCCUUUAGACCUUCAGAAUUUGAAUCUAGAGGUGUCAAAAAAGUUACCACAGGGAUAACUGGCUUGUGGUAGCCAAGCGUUCAUAGUGAUGUUGCUUUUUGAUCCUUCGAUGUUGGCUCCUCCUAUCAUUGCGAAGCAGAAUUCGCCAAGUGUUGGAUUGUUCACCCACCAAUAGGGAACGUGAGCUGGGUUUAGAUCGUCGUGAGACAGAUUAGUUUUACCCUACUAAUGACAGUGUCACGAUAGUAAUUCAACCUAGUACGAGAGGAACAGUUGAUUCACACAAUUGGUCAUUGCGCUUGGUUGAAAAGCCAGUGGCACGAAGCUGCCAUGUGCCAGAUUAUGACUGAACGCCUCUACGUCAGAAUCAAGGCUAAAGAAAUGACGCCUGUGCCCGUCGCCCGUUUAUCGACCCGUAGUAGGGGCCCUCCAGUCCCCAGAGUCAUGUGUUGUUGGCUAAGCCCCUGUAGUGGAUGUGUUGUGUGGACUGCCUUGAAGCGUAAUUCCUGUCGGGCGAUGGGUCAAAUCCUUUGCAGAUGGCUUAAAUACGCGACGGGGUAAUGUAAGUGGCAGAGUGGGCUUGCUGGCACGAUCCACUGAGAUUUGGCCUUUUGCAUCGAUUCGU